rnacentral:rRNA from 1 species
AACGAACGCUGGCGGCAUGCCUAACACAUGCAAGUCGAACGAGACCUUCGGGUCUAGUGGCGCACGGGUGCGUAACGCGUGGGAACCUGCCCUUAGGUUCGGAAUAACUCCCCGAAAGGGGUGCUAAUACCGGAUAAUGUCUUCGGACCAAAGAUUUAUCGCCUUUGGAUGGGCCCGCGUUGGAUUAGCUAGUUGGUAGGGUAAAAGCCUACCAAGGCGACGAUCCAUAGCUGGUCUGGGAGGAUGAUCAGCCACACUGGGACUGAGACACGGCCCAGACUCCUACGGGAGGCAGCAGUGGGGAAUAUUGGACAAUGGGCGAAAGCCUGAUCCAGCAAUGCCGCGGAAGUGAUGAAGGCCUUAGGGUUGUAAAGCUCUUUUACCCGGGAUGAUAAUGACAGUACCGGGAGAAUAAGCUCCGGCUAACUCCGUG